rnacentral:lncRNA from 1 species
GAGACCAGCAGACGUGCUUUGUUAAGCUACACAAUGUUAGGAAAAAAUGAAUUAGUUGCAAGCAUUUCAACAUGGGGAGACUGAGCAUAAAAUAUGGAUUUCUAGCGUCUCUUGAAAAAAGUGAAAAUUUGAGUAAACUGGUUGGAUCUGAGAAGCUGAUUCCUCACUUCUAUGGAGCAGACGCUGCAUUUCUACACCACAGUAGACUCAUUCACCUACGUCACCUGUCUGGUCCUUGAAGAGAUCUGACUUGGUGACCUUUGCUCUAAAGCAUUGUUGGAAUUGACGGUAAGAUAUUAAGUUUAAUCGUGUUUUCGGGCAACAUGAUGAAAUCUGGGUUUCUUAAAUCCCAAGGACCCAUAACACAAAUGAAUAGGCUAAUCUCACUCCUUCAAGUUCUCCCCAGAUAUAUUUGGGAUACCGUUGGGGAUGUGUCUCACGUUUGUAUGACUUACUGCAUUCACUGUUCCCCUCAUUUUUGUUCUGACUGAUAGGGCCCAGUGCUAUAGCGGCUACUAAUACGCAAUGAAACGAGUAUUAUGAGUAUUAUGAAAUGGCCGAAAAGCCCCAUUUGAAGAGGAGAUUAAUAUGUACUUCACAGAGUCAUUAGAACAGUUAAAGGAAUAUUUGUAAAGGGUUUCUAACAGGACCCAGUAAAAUGUAAGUAUCGCAGCUGUACUUCCUACAUUAAAAAAAAAAAAUUGAAUGCGGUCAAGAUUUAGCUGGGUUGCCAAUUCAUAUAUGCUUUUUCCUACUGUUCUCUCUGAAGCCUGGGUUCAUGCAGAAAAAAUGACAUUCCUCGGGUUACUAUGUCUUUCUUGGUCCGAAUGAGAAAAGGAGGGGUCUUCCACCCUUGUCUAUUUCAUUCUCUCUGUUCAUAAGCUGCAUAAGAGACACCCCUGAGUCCUCAAAGCCUGUAAGGUUUUUAGCGAAAGCGAUCUUUUAGUCUUACCCUCUCCUUCUGCCCUACCUACCCCACAUGUGAGGACAUGGUGCUUGGACAGAGAUAAACUCAAUCACAGAAGUUGGGUAACAUUCAAAUUUCUCUCUCUCCUCCCAAUGUAGAAGCUUCAUGCCCCACCUUUCUCUUCCUGCAGGAAGAGUUUUAUGGCUUUGCUACUAGAACCUGAAGCUAGCCCAGGGUGCUUCCGAAAGCCUGGCUCUGCAGAAUCCAGUGAUGAGCACAAUUUAGGGCCCUACGAUAGCUUUGGCCACCGCACUUGGGGUUCAAAUGAGGAGUCAUCUUCCAGCGGUUUCUGGGCCCUAGUCAUCCGCACAGCCCAAGCUUCACCCAUUUCUGACUGUCAGGGCAGUAAUUCUUUUCGGGGGGUAGUGGCCAUUUCUACAUUGGAGUGCCAGUUACUAAAGUGGGAAGAAUCUUUAAGCAAGGAAAUUUAGUAUAAUCUCUAUUUUCUGUCAGCCCCCUCCUUGCCAUCCCUACCCCCAAAAUCGCAAUCAACAAUGACCAAAUACAAAAAAAAAAAAAAAUUCAUCAGUACUCAUCAAAUACUGAAGAAGUAAAGAGGCUACUGAAUAGGCUAUAUAAAAUAUUAACCACUCACAUGGUAUCUCUACUUUCAGGCACUAAAAAGUUUCAUAGUUUCUUUUGGUUUUGUUUUCUUUUUCUUUCUUUUCCUUCCUUCCUUCCUUCCUUCCUUCCUUCCUUCCUUCCUUCCUUCCUUCCUUUCUUUCCUGAGAAAAUAGGUUCUGUUUCUCUUUUUUACGUUCUUGGUAGAAUUUCUUGGGAGAUUAUUUAUUCAUUGCUUUCCUUAAAGUAUCAUAUUCGAUGACUACUUUAGACAUCACUGCAAUGAAAGGAUAUAUAUGUACUGUGUAAUAAACAUUAUUUAUGUAUAACUGACUUCAUAUAACACAGUGUGUCUACGUAAUGCUCUUAAAGAAAUCUACCUGUCACCUUGUGCACAUGCACAGGUGGUCCUGUGUCAAAUCCAGUCAUCAUCAACACAGCUGUGAUGAAAUGAGUGCCCACGAGGUAGGUAGGUAUUUUAUGUAAUUGGGAUACUCUGCCUAUGAAACACAUAACAAAAUUUCCCUUUUACAGGUGAAGAAGCUUCUUCGGCAAACUUAGUGACUUGCUCAAGGUCACACUAUUGUAUUAGUUAAGGACAGAGUGCAAAUCCAGCCUCUGGUCUGUCAGGUCCCAAGUUCUUACACUUCCAACUCUUAUGUUCUCAACCCCGAAGAGAUCAAAGGCUCUGAGACAGAAGAUGGUCUUUACCAAGGACAGUUUAGGCUGAGUCUUUACAAAACCCAGAGAUUUUAUGGGCUGAGUCUCUGCUUUAUCCCCGGACAAUUACGGGGGAAACUACAUUGUCAGAUGAUAGGAAGGAUCAGUUGACAGUGAUACGAUAAAGCAGUUGCUAUCAGAGGCAGAAAAUAUAUACUUGCUAGUUCUUUUGGGAUUAGAGAUAGGGAUUUUUAUAGAAUUUGACAAAAUGAAAGCAUUUUCAAGAGAACCUGGGCCCAUGAUAUUCUUGAAAAAAGUCAGUUGACUUUUAACGUUUUGAGUGGUUUAUGCGGAAGCUCUCUGGGUGAGGUCAAGAACGCAGUUACAGACUCUGGGGCAGGAUGGGCCAAGGGUCCCAGCCAUUGAUAAGACAAUUAUGCAGGUCUUGGCUAGGGAAGAAACUUUGCCACAUUUAAGGCAUUACAAAGAUUGUUAUGAGUAGCUAUUAUUGUGGGAAAGGAAAUCAGGGUCUCCAAGAUGUCCUAAUGAUGUUAGAACACCACACUGUUUCAACUUAAAUAUCAGGAGACAGCUCAGAAAUCCUCUGGAAUAGGUUUCUGAACAAAAAUGGCCCGCGCACUGCUUGCCUAUGUCAGUUUAUGGCAACUUUGGGACACUGCAAUUUUGAUUUUCUACAUAGAUCUUAUAUAGGAGACAGCAAACUAAAUAACGCCCUUGAUAUUAGUGAUGUAUACAUUCAAUAACAAAUAUAGCAGUGGUAUUCAUACUGUGUUUCUUCUAGUGACUGAUAAUAAAAUGUUAUAUUAAAUGAAUUCAUAAUGAAGACAGUUUCGGGAGGGAGCUAAUCUAAGAUGGUCCAAACACAUAAAUUUCUGAAGGCCUCACUGGAUUACAUUUCAUCACUUUCAUCACAUUACUUUAUCUCCUUUAAACUAAAAUAAUUCUAACUUAGCCCUCUCCUAUAAGGCAGAAAACUUAAUGCUCAUAAUUAUUGGGGUUCCCUGCAGGAUCGUGCAAGGGUUCUCUUACCCCCUUACACAAAACAGAAUGUUCAGGGUAGCCAUUGUGUCUUUUUAUCCACACUGAUCCGUUGCCAUAGCCAGAGCCUCUGUUGCUUUCUGUGAUGGUUUUGCCAUGUGCCCACUUGGCUAAGCUGAACUGCAUUUCCCAGAAUUCCCUUUCCUCUGUGUUUCCUGUUAGCAUGGGCUACCGGAGAGAUUCUCUUGACAGUUGGAGGAUGUAAGGAAGGCAGCGGCCAUUUUGCGGUACACGCCAUUGUUGAUCUUUUGAUUCAUUUUACUGGCAUGAAGCAGCAACUUGGCCAGCCAUUGUCUCUUCCCCGACUGGAUCUUCUUUCAGUUUUUCUGACUCCUACUCAGGUGUAUGUGUGGCUAGGUCCUCAACAAAGGAUCUUGGCCUCUACAAGAUACUCUUGUUACGAAGGUCAGAGGCAACAAGAACUGAUGAGCAUUAGCCUAGCCUCUUGGCAUUCCAGCUCAUGCUUCUAGGGUUCCGGCCUGUUCGCGACCUUUCUUCCUAAUUGCCAGCCUGUGGGUUCUGGGUUCCAGCAUUAGAUGUGGAGACAACUUUGCCGGGACUGCUUAGUAAACUCCCAUGAGUGCUUAAGCCAAUUCCCUUUAAUAAGUCCAUAUAUUUUAAUCUCCUACUGUUUCUGCUUCUCUGUGUGAACACUGACUAGUACACUUCCACGCUGCUCACUGAGGAUGCAAACCUUUGUCAAUGCUGGAAUCCCACGGUCUAGGUUAGGUGCUGCCUACAUAUAUGCCUACAGCCUCUCCUUACUGAGACCCUGUCACUCUCCCUCCCAGAGAUGUCCUGUGCGGUUCAGCAUAGUUCUCUACCACGGUAGGAUCAUUUUUAGUCUGUAUGACUUUGCUUCAUCAUCUUCCUCUGGAGUAGCUAAUGACAUUUCUUCAGUGGAUUUAGGCUUUCACAAAAGAUAGGGUUUGACUUCAGGCCAUUUCUGCUUUCAACCCCAGUAAAAAACUUAGCGGGGCAAACCAGUACAACACUUUACCUUUUUGGAGUUGGAGAGCUUAGCAUGGGAGAAAAACUAACGGAAAACAAACAUAGCACUUUAAUAAUGAUCCCACCAUAGGAGGGCAUAGCUAAAGAUGUAGAUAGAGAUAUACUUCUGGUUCUAAAAGCCAGCUGUUCCCAAACUCUCUGCCUACCAAAUCAGAAACUUCUAGGGUGGGGUACAGGGAAUUUGUAUUUUUAAUUAAAAUUCUCUCAAGUGGUUCUUAUGUAUAGCCAAAUUAAGAGUUGUUGUCUUAUGCUAGCUUCUUUACGUUGAAUGUCAGUUUUCCGAGUGGAGCAUUUGAUGGUGGUGGGUAGCAAAUAGUAAUAAUCCUCCUAUAUAAGGAUCUGGUGUGUAGGCUACUCCAUAUGGCUAAACAUGCAUUUGUGUUUUUAAGCUAGAAGAGGCAGAGAUAGGGUUGACAUUCUAUUAUAAAAGUUAAGAAAUUUUCUUAUUUACCAUUCUUAUGCAAUUGGUAGAAACCCCAUCUGCGAGAGAACACGAACAGGGUGAUUAUAGUCAAAUAAAAACACAUGUUUUGGGAUCGGGACUGGACAGUCAGAGCGGCUGCAGCUCACGGACUGGAGGAUGAGCAGGUCUGAGAUGGGUGCACUCCACAUUUGUCUGAGCGCCCCCUGAGGCACACGGGUUGAGGUGUCCUUCCAGCUGUGGGUCAGGCUGCCCUGAGCUUCCCUGGCUAGAUUCUAGAGGCUUGAGGAGUUUCAGUUCACUGAGGAAAGAAACACAGGCAAAAGCGUAAUGAUGAUGGAGAUUGUCCAGUAAGAAAGCAAAGCCUGACUGGGGCAAUACUCUUUGCUGGCUCCCAGUGACAGUGAUCUUGAUGGUCAGGAGAACGUGAGGGCCUUUCUCGUCUGGCAUGAGAGAACUUUGUGAAGCAAUGGGUCAGGCAACUGGAGAGUUGCCAUGGGAGGUUGCUGGAUACUGAAGACACAGUAACUGAUGAAGAUGAAAAAGUUGAAGCCGGCAGAAAUAUUAAUACCCCCAGUCUUAUCCUAAAGCAGAUUUGAAGAGGGAAUAUGACCAAGUCUCUACAAAGAAAGUAAUUGAGUCUGUGAGCUGUUCUUCCAAGGUCGCUUGUAUUCUGGCAACUUUUCCCCAAACUUCUGGUAAGCCAAAGCCAUCACCUAGUGAUAAGAAAAAAUUCCACAGGAGAGACUACAGCGAACCCACGGCUGCUGGAACCUCAGCAAGGAAGGAUGCCUUCACAGUGGUUUGGAGAGAACUGCUUGCACAGAAGAGAUGGAACUCAAGAGACUAGUUUCCAAAGUAAUGGUGUCAGAUUUUAGAAGGUUUCUGUGGCCAUGAACCUACUAGCUCGAUAGAGGAACUCGUUUAUUAAAUGGGGAUAAUACUACCUUUGCCUGUGAUUUGGGUGGGAAUCUCAUUUUGGGUAGCCAAUUUACUGAAUUCAAUUUCUUGCCAAGAAAGUUUGUCUCAGAAGCAAAUCCAUUUUUUAGGGGCCUUACUUUGCAGUAGCAACUGUAGAAGCUGUAUGUAAGGACAACUUCAAUUACUUGUCAACUACUUGUCACACUGUCUAAGCCACUACGAUUCAUUCAGAAUGUUCUCUUUGUGAUGAAAGAGACGCCUUGAGAAAGAAGGCUUGUCCUAAGGGUCUCCUGGUGGCUGAAUCACAGCUUAGUUCAUAGUCAGGGGCUCUGUUUACAGCCGUGCCUAUCAAUACAGUUGGUGAGGAGGUGAGAAGAAAUCAAGAGCUUAAUUCUCCUGAUAAGAAAUACAAUGGAGGCCCCGGAGCUUUUAUAUCAAUUGUCAAUUAAUACAGCUCUGUUGAUUAAAUAGCCGGUAGAAUCAUGGCUCACCUCUCUGCCUCUGAAAAUGUGGUACAAAGACAAAGUCUCCUCUCCUUCCACCGCAAUGUUUACUGUAUGUUGGUGUCGUCCCUUGGUUUUCCUUGACUAAUUGACAAGCCCAGCUAUUCAAGUUAAUGUUGAGUGGUCAGUACCAAGACCGGGAGGCACAUCAGGUACAGAUUAACUAUGGGAGAGCAGCCCAGUUAAUUCUCGAGGAAGCGCCAACUCAGCCAAAUGCAGCAUUAACAACUUACAGAGUUAACAAGUUACACCCCUAUUAGCAAGUUGACUUUUUAUUGAGGGUUCAUUUAAAAAAUGAUGAAUGAUUCUUAACUGGGAAUGCAUUGGCAAGUGGCACGGAGACCAAGAUUGAGACCGACAGUCCAUUUGCCUGGUGCUUAAAAUAUUGUGCAGUAAUUCUAAACAUUAGUGGAAAGUAGUUUCCUGCCAGCAGGGACUCAUCAUGGACUUCUACACCAGACUCUAAGGUGUCUUUUGGGGAUACACAGGGGUGAAGUUUUUCACUUCUCAGGAAGAGCUCUUCCGUGUGGAAAGAACUUUAGCCGAAGUGAAAUGACAAUUCCUUUGCUGUUACAGGAUCCCAUUACAACUCUGAGAGUGCACACAACAGAAGACCAUCCCCAUUUUUUUGGUUCUAUGUCUUCCCCUUCAUGAGAGUCGAAUAUUUGUGCAGAAAAAAAAAAAAAAAAAAAGGUUUAUGCCAAGUAGAGACGAAUUUUUAGAAAGCAUCUCCUAGGCCUUUUUGAAACCCAAGCUGAAAUCACUUUCCCUGUGGCAGAUGAUGUAGGUGAGGUACAAGCCUGUUUGGCUGGUUUUGUGGCUUGCCCAAUGCCCCUGCUCUCUGUUUCUAUCUGCAGCCAGGAAAACUUCUAGUGCUUAAUAUUUGAAUAUAAUACUUGAUGUCUGCACAGUAAAACUAUUCUAACUUUAAGCCAAUGCUGAAAAUGAGGUAUACGCCAGCGAAUGGUUUCUUAAUCUCAGCCCUGGAGAUGAAUACAAAACUGUGCUUUUCUGAAGCGUGUUUGAAAAACCCCUGCCUCAACAUCAUGGCUAAUGGGAUCAACUUUAAAAAUUGUUUCCCAGCUAAAAAUCUAUUCUAGUAUAAGACAAAGAGAGAGAGAGAAAGAGAGAGAGAGAGCGAGCACAAGAGUUAGGGGAGAAGGUAUGAGGGUGGCUUUCUAAAACAUGACUAAAAUUGUGUUCUAGAAUAUGAUGUAAGAUACCAUUCCUAUAGAAUCUACAGGAAUGACUGGGCAGGCCUUUGAACAAAUGUCUGUAUGAUGAAAAGGAGGCAAGAAGGGCCCAAAAUAAGGCCUUCCAAUUGUUGGUAAACAGAGGGGAGAAUUAAGACUCUACUAAGAUCCAAACAGAACUUGUUGGAGAAGUCCUUAUCUGACAUAUUUUCUGCAUUAAAAACAAAAAAGAUAUUGAAUGUUCCUUUUUGAACUCUAUCUUCUUGCAUAUAUUUUUACAAAGAUUGUUUCCUUCAUCCUUGUGAUGUUUUACUAUUUCUGUUUCGUUUGGUACCAUAGAUUAGAUGUUAGUUUACUAUGUUAAUGUGUAAAAAGAAAAAAAUUGUCUGAAGUAGGUGACCUUUAAUGAACAAAUGUACACUUUAUUUAAGUUCUUUAGUAGAAUUUGGUUUGGUGUUUUUGGCGGCUGUUCACAUGAAGGAAAUUAAUCCAGUUCUCAUAAAUAUUAAAGAAAAACUGCUAAUUAUUGUUAUUGUACAGAAGUCAACUUUAGAAAAAUACCUAGAGUGGGGGGCCAGAGCCAGAAGAAGAAUAUUUACUAGCAAGGCACAUUUAUUAAUUCUUUGUUGUUGUUUUUGGGUUUUAAUAGUGACAAGAAUUGUGCAGCACUAGGUGAGUUUGGGGAUACGAUGUCAGUUUUACUUUAAAAUGAGAAUGUGAUGCUUGGUAGGUUAUCUUUUUUGAUGAGACUUAAGUAAUUCCUGGGGCUGGCGGGGGGGAUCUAGUUUCAGUGCCCAUGACCUUUACCAAUUGUUCCAGGCACACGUAAGGGACAGGUGAGGUCACGGUCCAAAUUUAGGUGAAGGCUGGCAUAGUGUAGACUCAAGACACAGACGUGUGGAUCCAAUUGUGAUACCAGCCAGAGAAACUGAAUCUUCAAGUGACCCAGGAUUUGUUAUUUUUUAGAGUAUUAUCAUUGAUUAUUGAGGACUACACAGAUUUAUACAUUCAAUGGAUUUUAAUCAAUCCCAGUCAUUCUUUCUGAUGCUCAAAGUAUCAAAUAAGGCCCCUCUGACAAGUGGGACCCAUUAGAUUGGUUAUUUAUUUAUUUUUUCGGACAUGACCCAUUAGUAUCUGGGUGCUUCUGUGCCUUCCAGAACAAGGCUCACCUUCUUUGUUCCCCAUCCCAGACUUGGAAUCAGUCAAGUUUUGUUUAGUAGCAUGUUAAGGAUGGUAUUUUGAAACCAAAUCUUGACACUGAUGGGAUGUGAAAUGGCAUGUGAAGGGAUAUGGCACCAGCAAUGGCGUGCUCAUCAAAACGUUAAACUCGGUUCACUGGAAAUGUAGGGAGUAGAGGAACAAAUUAAAAGACAGAGUGAUGAAACCAGCAGACAAGUCCAGAGUGUGAGGCAUCCUAUCAGACACCUGGCUUUUGUCCUAUUAACAAGUCAAUGUCAUGAAAAAUGUGAGGAGGAUGGUUCCAGAUUUGAAGAGACUUAAAAGACAUAGCAAAAGCCAUAUGGGGUCAUUACUUUAAUCCUGUUUUGAAAAAAAUAAUCUAUAAAGUAAUUCCAGAAAUUAUUAGGGAAAUUGUCAUGUAGAUUCAUUAUGAGAUGGUGAUAUUAGGUAAUUAAUUUUUUGAGGUGUGACAAUGGUACUGUCAUCAUUCAGCUAAAUAUUUUUUGGUGAUAUAGGCAAAAGUGUUUAAGAGUAAAUGUAAUGUCUGUAGUUUAUUUAAAAUGAUUUGGCAGUAAUAAAAUUCAAAAUAGAUUGGUGUAGAACUAUACAAAUAUAUAUAAUGUGCAUAUGAAGCAGAUGUGGCAAACUCAAUUUGUGAAGAAUUAUUGUAUCUAGGUGAUGGGUCUUUAUUGUACUUCUUUUCCAUAUAUUUUAAGUUUAUUAUUAUUAUAAAAGGAAGUUUUAUAAAAGGGGAAGGGGAACUCCCUGACUUUGGGACACAGGAAACUUCGUGCUCCUGAGAUCUUUACGCUGAUGUUCCUCUCUACAUUUCCUGCCCAACAGAUGAUACGCCGUCCGUCCAGCUCCCAAGUCAAAAGUCUUAAAGCCCUCCUCGUCCCCUCUUCCUCCUUCAGCCUUUUCAUUCAACAAGCACGUUUUUCCAAUGGUAUCUUCUACAUAGGUCAUGAAUCUGCCCCUACCUCUGUCCACUAUCUCAGAGACCCCGGCAGCAGCCUCUCACUGACCUCCCUCCUCCACAGUCAUAUAUUCCUUGCAUCCGUUCAGCCUCCAGAGCGAUCUUUCUGCAGCGUGAGUCCCAUCGCCCUUCUUCUCUGUGACUCCCCAUUGCUUAGAGGAUAAAGUCCAAGCCCCUAGCAUGGUGUGCAAUGUGGCACCACCUGCACUGCCAUUCUUGCCCCAGCGACACGGAACCCUACUCGUGUUGUCUUCUAUGUGGUGCUCUCUGCCUCCUCGUCCCGGGGCUGACUCCUCAAGGGCAUCCUGGAAUCCCCAAAUGCAGGAGUCCUUCUGCCCCAGACCAGCUCCUCAGCCACCCUGCCCCGUUACUGCGCUGCAAGUCCCCCAUAAAUACCAUGUGCACAUCGCGGUUACUGCAUUAGCUCAUACUCGCGUGAGGCGACAGAUUGUAGAGACUGGAGCCAAAGUGCCUGAGUUUGAAUACCAGCUCUGCUCCCCACUCACUCCUUGUGCCACGUUGGGCCAGUUGCUUAAUCGUUUCACGCUUGUGGUUCUCAAAUAUGGAGUCAGGAUACUAAGUACUACUAACAGGACCCCCAACUCACAGUGCUGAGGAUGCCGCAAGUGUUUAGAACAGUGCCAGGCACAUUAUAAGCACUCAAUAAGUGUUUACUAUUGAUACUGUCUGAACCGUGUUCCUAUUUUCUCCCUAGAUGGUGAGAUCCUCGAAAUGAGGGCUGGUAUUUAUAGAUAUUGCCACGUGUCAGACACUGUGUGAAGUGCUUGCGUUCCAUUUAAUCCUCACAAAUGAGGUCAGUGCCAAUUCUUCCUCCCUCCCUCCCUCCCUUCCUCUGUCUUCCCACUCUCCCCUCUCCCCCACCUCCCUUCUUCCUUUCCUCCCUUUGCCCUUCCCUCCUUCCGCACGUGUUCUACUGCCAAGCCUAUGCCAUCACCCCUAUUUUUACAGAUGAGGAAAUGGAGGCACAGCACGGGCAAGCGGUUUGUCCACAUGCACACGGUCAGUUCACUGGAAGUCCCUAGGUUGGCUGGUGUUCCCACUGCCUAACUCUGAAGUUGGUGGGGGCCACACCGUACUGUGCACUCUUCUUUGCAUCAAGAGCAUGUAGCAACUUGACUGCCAUUCUAGUGCUCACGAAGUGUUUGUGAAACGAAUGGGCCAAUGAAUGAAUGUGAGUAAAUGAAGUUAAAAGGAGAGAAAGAGGGACAUAUGGGUGUGGGUACGAUGAACUCAGGUUUCGAUGCGGGCAUGACUUGCUCCGAACAUCCAGGCGAAUAGCAUCCAGCAGGGUCUAUUUGGGAAAUGCAGCGCGACGUCAAAGCCAUGGCCAUGCUGAGUGAACAGAGGGAGCCCUUGAGGAUGUGUGCACCAGUUUUUUCAAAGCCACUCUUGCAUUUUGCUGAGAAUUCACAUUAAGCUGAACGAUCUGGGCCCAAAGCCUCAUUUUCUUUCCUUCUGUGAAUAAUCAGCACUUUUUUGGCUCCCCUCUUACUCUCCAUAAUUCCUCAAAGAUUACUCAGUUUCCAGGAUUAUGUGUACAAUUUUCCUCAUGUUUUUAGCCCUUCUGAGCAGGGAUUUAAAAUAAUUAGCUGCUAGGAGUUGUCUUACUACUUCUAUAGUGAGACGUCUUUUUUCUGCUUUCUUGGGGAUAUUUUCAGUUUGAAAGUCACUCUCUGUGAUAGUACUGCCUGGGGAAAGGCCAAUUUCCAUUCUGGUAGUGGGCAGAAGGCCAGUGUCACUUCCUCAGAGACGCUUUCCUUGACCGUCCUAUAUGAAUUGGUCCUCCAAUUCCCAUCACUGCCAUGUUAUCUUAGGUUAGGGCCUUAAUAGCAUUUAUUAUCUUUGACAGCCAUGUAUUUCCAGUCUCUCUACUGGAAUGUAAGCUCUCUGAGGGUAGAAGCUGGCAUAUUUCAUUCACUACUGGUGUGUGUGUUACAGGUGUCCAAAGAAUUCUUGUUGAAUGAAUGAAAUACAGAUACAGGUAGGAUGGGAAAAAAAGGAAAACACAGAAAAGGGGAAAUGUGGGCAAGAGCCCUGAGGUGCCUCCAGCAUGCUGUCCUUCUUGCCAAACACUUUCCUUCGGUGUUUUAUUUUCUAUUCUAAUCAUCUGUUCUAUUACCCAUUGUUUUCUGUGCUAUUCUGUCUCCGCUGCUGGCCCAUGGGCUCUGGGAGCUUGGUAAUGCUCACCAACUUCGCCAUUCACUUCAUUCCUUCCUUCCUUGCACGCACUCGUAUCAGAUUUGAGUAAGGCUACAGGCUAGGCAGUGUUCUGGGGGCUGGAGGUCCCUACGUGGUGGAAAACAGGGAGAGAGACCAGCUGUUGCCUCUUUUGACAUCCUAAUUUUGCCCGGGGCUAAGCCAGCAGCAUCUAAGAAAUAUUUCCUUUCUCUUGCUGCCCAGGGAGGCUUUAUUUAGAAGCUGUUAGCUACAGGGGAACAUCUGCCCCCUGUAACCUGACCUCAGUUCCUGAGGAAACCUUAAUCAACCUGCUUACAGGUUGAGAGGAUUAAGAAUUUUUAAUUUACUUAACCACUUUCAAAAAAUAUUGCACUGAUCAGGCUACCGAUUUUGAAUGAGGCUGCUAGUUGAUAUUUCUUUGCAUUGUAAGUGGAGUAAUUGAUUCAGAGUUACGUAUUCAAACUGAAUAUAGAUUAUAGUCUACAUUCAAUUGUGACACCAUACUUUCCAUUUCUUAUGUUUGCUGGUGAUAUAUGUUUUAUUUAAAAGUUGUUUUUGUUUAAAAUAUUAGUGGGUUUUGUUUUGUUUUUUGUUUUUUGGGUUUUUUUUUUUUUUGGGGUUAAAAAGACCUGUCAUGCUCAGGAUACGUGAAGUAGGAGGGAGAAAACAUCGCUUCUCCUAAAAGAACAAUUUUUAGUACAAAACAGCACUCUCACCUAUUAAUCAGACUCAAGAAUAAGAAGUGGUUACUUCAAAGAUGACAUUCAUGCCUGUUAUUUAGGAUAUUAUGCCUGAAGUGUCUCUCAAGAAUAAGCAUCUAGUUUGUGAAGUUCUUUUUCAAACGACUAUAUAUUCGCCAUCACCUCCACCUUCUCCAUAUGCACCUCAAUAGUCCUCACUUCCACCAUGGCCUCCACUCCGCUACCCUCAGAAGCUCUCCUUCUGCCACACCCUUCCCUUGUCUUUGCAAAUCCCAUCCUUUCCCUUCACUCUCCUCCACCUCUCCCCCGCUCCUGAACCACCUCCUUUCCUUCUCACCAUGUCCCCCAGCGGUACCACCACUAUCCAGCAUGCGGGCAUUUCCUCAGGUGGCGAGUCAGUGCCACUCAGUGCCUUCCUCCCCUGUCAGGCAUGCUUCUUAACUCUUUGUUAAUGGCAUGUGAAAUCUUCUGGCUAGUGCCAUCACAGGUUCUAGUGAUCGUCCCCAGGAGCACACAAGCGGAAUUGUUGUCCUAGUUGGCUAACCUCGGGCUGCUAAAGUCUUUCCACGCCUUCGCUGUAGUCCAAAGGACCGUACUGUCACAUCUAAUAGUUUCAUGAAUAUCCGUAAAGGGUGUUCAUUUUCAUCAAACAAAAGAGAAUCAUUGGUUUCUUCCAUUUGUUUCACCUCUUUCAGAUUUAGAUAAAAACUUCUUUUGCAAUUGGUUUGCCCAAUGGCAUUCCUGGACUUUCGCGAGAGAACUCUUUACUGUCGAUUCCACAUGGUUUAGCGGGAGAGGAAUGUCAGAACUGAGUGGUCUGGAUUUGCCCAAGGUUAUCACUGAAGGCUGAAAUGCUUUGUUGUGCUUCAUUUAUUUUCAUCUUAUUGGAUACUUUCUUGUUCCACACCACCUUCAAGGGUUAAGGCUUCAGUGCUUAAAAACGAUAGACGUUUGAAGUAUCACUUUUAAAGAAACGGUCUUUAACAUCUUCUGCCAGGAGGUGGGAAUAUGGACGUAUUUCUUUUUCACAAACCACUUGAGCUUGAGCUUGGGGCUUUCUGUAUCAUCUCCUCCAGUUGAAGUGGUUCUUCCACCUCACAGAACAGGUUUAUUUGGGAGACCAACCAAAUGUGUGUUUUAACAUUCAGGGACAUUCCCCCCUCUGAUGCUCUGACAAGGGCUGCUUCUUUGACAGUAGCUCCUUACAUGCUGGUACCUGUACCUAGCAUGUCCUACAAGACCCUGUGCAUCAUAGGUUCAGCACUGAUCUCUACCAUGUUGUGGGGAGAAGUGUUUCCUGAUGAAGGAUAUGGCAUGGGCAGCUGAGGAAAGCAGUCCCAUUACUAAAUAAGGGUUCGCUCAAGCCACCGUAAACAUCCUCACAACCCUCUACCAAAUGCACAAAGCUGGGGUUCAAGGUGGAUUGAGAUUUCUGGUAUUCUUUUCCUGGGUACUGCCCCUACGGCAGUGUAAGACGGAUUUGUUCCAAUCCAUCUGAGGCCCGAGUCAGCGUCAAAAACUGGAAAAUUUCAAAGUAAGAAAUCAGUGACCAUUAGAUUUCCGUAAUGAGGAUUUGCAGAAGGCUUAUCAAGGGAUGCAUAUAAAUAUUUCGAGGGGCGCCUGGGUGGCGCAGUCGGUUAAGCGUCCGACUUCAACCAGGUCACGAUCUCGCGGUCCGUGAGUUCGAGCCCCGCGUCGGGUUCUGGGCUGCUGGCUUAGAGCCUGGAGCCUGCUUCCGAUUCUGUGUCUCCCUCUCUCUCUGCCCCUCCCCCGUUCAUGCUCUGUCUCUCUCUGUCCCAAAAAUAAAUAAACGUUGAAAAAAAAAUAAAAAAAAAAUAUUUCGAGAUGAAGGACAGUGAGCACCAGUGACUAGCAAAAAUAAACCAGAACACAAGCCAUUUCCAACUAGGAGAAUGAAAACCAGCUACUUCAUUUUCAAGUCUAAGCAUCCAAAAUCUAAUCUCUUCCACACGUGCAGGUACAUUUCUUUUUGGAAAAAAAUGAUGUCCAUGUCGCGACAUUCCAGAGAGAUGAUUUGACGGUCCUCUCCACAGCAUGCACUUCCCUGCCCAUGCCCGUUGAUUAAAGUACGUCAGGGCCUUCCAAAGAUCUUCUAGAAGAUAGCCUCAUCCUGUUAUUCCACUGAUAAAUCUCUUUCACCGUUCCUCAUUGCCUACUGGAUAAAGUCCAAGAUUCUUCUGACAGGCCCAGGCUUUCACCAUGUGCCCCUGACCUCUGCUCUAACCCCGGGUUAUCACACAGCCUAAAACCUGGGUUCUUCUCUUGGAUCGUGCAGACUUCCUCAACCUGGUGUCUAUUCCUCUUGGAAUGCCAUUCCCUGCUUUCUCUUCCCCGUUGACCUUACAAUUCUUCGCUAUUCAACAUAGAUACCUUCAAGAGAAAACUUCUCGACUUUGACUGCCAGGUUAUGCACCUUUUCCACCACAACUUAGCAUUUAUCAUGGCAUUGUCAUAUCAAUUCUCUUGUCUGUACACCUGGGGAGGCUGCAAGUCCCAUGAGGGCAAAGACUGAGUUUUAAUUCAUUAUAGUCCAGGAUCUGGCACAAAAACGUUUGUUGAAUGGAUAAACCAUUAGAUGAUAUAUAGGAGAGGCGUGCUGGGCUCAAUAUCUCUUGAGAGUCCCUUGAGAAUAAAAAGGAGGUGGCUAUGAAUAGGUGAGGCCAUGGGACAAGGGGAGUGCAAAUUUGGUUGGCACAAAUUCCCAUCCUAGUGUAUAGCUAAUUAUAGCACAGCAGGAAAAUAAGAUGUAGACAGGUCACCAUGCUGGGAUUAAAGUAAGACUUAGUGGACCAAUUGGGUAUCCCAGAAUGCACUGGACACACAUCAAAUAUCAUGUUUAGGGAGCUGAAGUGAUCAGGAGUGGUAUGGAGCUGAACUCACAGCUUGGGGGUCUCCUGUCUACAUCUGAGUAGGACUGGAGGAGACCAGCAGGGAGGAUGGAAACCUUGGAGACCUUUCCAAAUACCUAUCUCAGAGGAGAAAUGCAUGGGGGGGGGGGGGGGAGUUUCAUUAAUCCAUUUUAUUUCCAUUUGUGAGCAAAAAAACCCAAAGUGAUUGGGCAUACUUCAAGUGACCCAUGCAGUAGGAUAAAAAGGGGACAGAGAUUUAUACAAGUCUAGAAACCAGAGUAAGAUUAUCACUGAGUGCUAUCCAACUCCUAUGGAGAGGAAUGGCCAUGGAGAAGGUUUGGAAACAAUCCAAAGUGUGGAUCUAUCCUGUCUGGGGUCCACUAUAGCCCUGGAAUAAUUCUCAGGCUACUUAGACAAUUUUGUAUGUUGGCCAUAGUCCUGUAAAAUGUUUAAGUGACUCUUGGGAGAUUACAGCACCUAGAGUUCAAAGGAGAUGCUGAAAAAGUGAAAGUCUCACAGGAACAGCAGGGCUGGGGUCUGCCCAGAAGGCUGGAGUUGCCCCCCACAUAGUUCUUGCCAUUCUACAGUCACUGUCAGGUUUAUUUAUCUGUUCGUAUCAAAAUCAGGGAAACAGUAGGAGAAAAACAAAAACAAAAUCCCAACUUGGCUGGCGGUUCAGUAAGGCAGUCUACAACAACCCUGAGCUCAUCUAGAAUCAUGCAACCUUAGAAGAGAGAGGAAAUGCAGAAACCUUGGAACUCAGAGACUUUUGACUUUAAAGCUGCCAGUUUACCAGACUCCUCUGGGAAUCUGACCCAACUGGCCACUCCUCCGUUCAUUUCCCUGAACCUAUUCUCUCUCGGCUCACUUCCCAGCCCUCUGACUGCUCAUGGCCAGAGCUCACCAGGGGCUCCUCUUACUGUGACCAACACCCAUCCUCCCUAUCCUCUGCCUCUGGGCCCUUUUUCUCUUUUCACUCUCUGCCUGGCCUCUGGGCAAUCUCACACAUAGCAUGACUUCAGCUACCAUCUGUAUGUUGGAGACUCCCAAAUACUUACUCCUUUCUAGAUCUCUGUGGACACUUCCCGACUAGCAGACCUAGCCCAGUGAAUGUUUCACAGGUGCUUCAAGUUCAAUACCUUCCUUAUUUCUCCUCACCACCAAAACUGCUAUCCUCUCAGCCCCUGCCUUCCCUGGUAAAACUAGCAAAUGCUACUCUCAGGCACAUUAACUGUCCAAAGGAGCUGGCUACAAGCGACCCUGGAUCCUGCACCCUCCUUCACCCUCUCCUCAGCCAAGCAUCAAACACCAAGUUCUCUUACUUUUUACCUCCAAAAUCUCCUUGAAAUCCAUCCCUUCUUCUCAACUUUGCCCUUCUAUCUCCUGGACUGGUAAAUGUCAAGCUACCCUUCUGGCUUCCUACCCCUAAUGUCACACUUCUGCUCUUCCUGCAUCGCUGCCUUUGUGAAUUUUCUAAAGUGAAAUGAAUCUCAAUAGGUGGCUUUCUAGCUUAAGAGCAAUGUUUCUCUGCCAUAACCCCUCUCGCAGUACAUGCCGGGCCAUGCCGGGCCAUGACUAGAACUUCUUGCUGCUUUCCCACUUUGUUCUUCUAGGAUACUCUUGUAAUACUACUUUUCUUGUACUCUCCUGGGACACGUAAUGCAAGUCUACACCGGGCCACUGUGAACUGGAAUGCGAGCAAAUGUGACAAUUCUUUCAAAAGCGGAAUUCAACUUUGGUCUUGAGAACAGCUAACUCAUUCUUUCCCAUUUUGGCAUUCGGUCGAAUCCAGGCAUUUUUUUUUCAUAUAUACUCAAAUGCUGCUUUCUCAACCACCGUCAAGUUCAGAGCUUUCCGUGGUGAGGUAAAUGUUCUGUUUCCCAGGGUUUCUUUUCUCUCCACUUUCCCCUGCCUUUCUUUUUGGAGGUGACAUUAAGUGACUGAGGGGAAGGGGAAUAAUGUACUCUCUGGCAUUAGGAAAGGGGUAUCUUAUCCCCAGCGAGCAUGGCUGGCCGCCCCUGCAGUUUCUGUUGGACAUGCCAGUGACCUGGGUGUCAGACGUCCUAUCCUGGGACCCGUCAGGUUAUGGCUCUCUUGACACCUGCUGACAACCUUACCAUUGUCCUCUGUGAUUUCCUCUCUAGACCCAGGCCCCUUUUGGUCACUCUCCUCUCUCGGAAUUUCAACAUCUCCUUGAACAUCUGGGAACGUUAGUUGACUUUCUCCUCACCCCACGGGGAAGCAGAGGGCCUAAGAGGUUCCUCAGCUUGGCGGUGGUUGUGUCUACUCACUGUCUCACCACCGUAUGGGCAGUGCCACCCCGAACGUGGGAUAAGCCCUCAGGAUAAUCGACCCUCAACCGAUUGUACUUAUAUUCUAUAGGUUUACAGAUACUUCAUCUGAAGAGACGCCAUCAGCGGUGAUAACACAGACUCAAUGAUGUACACACGAUUUUGUAUUCUUUUAGGAUGCAUCACUAUCUAAAUGUCCUCAGAAACAUAUCUCUGAAGCUGUCAAACUGGUGGGGAAGUGGGAAAAAUAAUCGUGGCCCAGUUAGGGGUCCUCACACUUUGGGCUCGGGGUCCUAAUUCCAGGGCUUUACAAAAGCGUCACUUGUCUACACAUUGCCCCCUGUGAUGUCCAUUGUUGCACUAGGCCCACAGUUGUUGGACCACACAGGACACUGCAGGAAUGUUCCCAUCUUCUGAGUGAUAUACCAUGUCUCCAACACAAAGGGACCAGCUUCAGGUUUUCAGCUAGGCUAACUGCACUGAAGUUUCUAGAGGCCAUCUAAGGCCUCAUCUUCCUAGAUACCCCUCCCUUAUUCAUCCAUUUUUAGGAGUCUGGCCAUUUUUUUCUAGGGAUUUUCCUGGAAACUAUGGCACAGACCUCCCAGGACUCCACCUGGAGAGCAGGAUCUCUUCCAGAGACCUGCAAAUAUCAGCCUUUGCAUCGUCCUUCUCUCUUCCACCCCAGUGGGAGGAGUCUUCCAUCAGUGGGCUGUGGAGGAGGAGGAGGAGUCUUGCUGUCACCCACCCAACGGCCUCCCAAAUCUUUUAAAGCCAAAGGCCUUUUUAUUCCCAUAAAGGUCUAGGCUUUUGAAACUCAAAAGGCAGGAAGACAAUCUUUUCCCCUCAGCUCUCUGAGGUCACUUGUCUUUGUGAAGUGCUUUGGGUCACACCCAGUCUCACUGCUGAGGCAAUGGCCUGACUCCUGAGGUGAGGGAGGGUCCCAGCGCUGAAAACCAGAAGCCUGAGUGGGCCAGUGUUGUCCUGCACCCCAGUCCUUUCCUGCUGCUGAUGGUUUACACUAACAUCUUGAAUGAGGAGUGUGCUUGCAAAGCAUAUGUGCAAUCACAUCUGGGGAGGAAUGUAUUUUCCUUUACCCAUCACUGCUUAGUUACACUGUUGAACCAGAACAAGGUCGCCUCUGUCCAGCAUCUAAGGAAAACAGUUCAGGAGCCAAUCGAAAAGCUGAGUUUCUUCUCUCUCCCCCUCCUUCCCCCUCUCUCUCUCCGGGUUAGCACUGAAAAAGCCCGCGAGGUACGGAUCUGGAUGAAAGGGGACAUAACGGAAAAUGAGAUCACGUGGCAUCCAGAGGCCAGGUUUUUCCCCUUGCGGUGUGAACUUGGCUCUCUGUCCCCCUGGAAAUCUUGAGUAUGGAAAUCACGUGCUUCCCCGAAGAGGAGAAAGGAGAGGUAGGAAGAGAAUAUCAUGUGGCCCACGGGAGCCGACGGGGGUUCUUCUCAACAAGUGCCUGCAACUGUUCAAGGAUUUAAGAGCGUGGCCGAUAAGGCUACAAACCACCGAUGGGCCAAUGGAGGAUCGACGUCGGAGGGGAACCUCUCGCCAAAGUAGCUGGCUUCCUUGAGCACCAGGCUGAGAUCUCUGGAAAGGAUGGCUGCUUUUCCCCGACAGUCCUCCUCCUCCUUCUGCUGCUCCCGGGCCUCCUGCCAUUGCUGUCAGCUUACGUUUACUGAGUGCUCGCUCCCUGCCACUUCCUAAGAGCCUCGCGCAAGUUAACCCGUUGAAUCUUCACAACAACUCUGAGAGGUAGGUCCUCUCCCUGCCGUCGUCGUUUCCUCCGAGGAGGAAAAGGAGGCGCUGAGAUGUGAUUUGCCAGAGAGGGCACGGUUCCUAGCCUGAGCUCCGUGACAACACUAUACCCACAACUCUCAGUCGUGUGCCGCCCUGGAGCCCACAGAGAGCUUGUCCCGGUCAUUCACUCCUGGGAGCCAGCCUCUGGGAAUCGGCUCUGCAAGCCAACAAACGUUGCUAAGGGCAGAGGAGAAUGAAUUUAUAUUAUCCCACCUCCCCUGGUAGCGAUCACACCUGCCCAGAUCUUACGCUAGGCCAGCCCAAAGCCGCCCCAAGGCAUUGAUUCCGUCGGUUUCUGAAAUGUUGCAGUUUCGUCGGAAAGUUCAGGCAAUUUUGUCCUUGCUACUCGCUAUACUCAUGUUUAUAUCUGUAUUCCCCGCCCCCACCCCCCGCCAUAUUGACAAAUGGCAAUAAUAGGUCCAGGUGGAUAGACCGGGCGUAGGCCUACCAAACAAGAUCUGCUUCUCUAAAGGAUAAAUUAGUCUGGGCAAACAGGGUAGACAGCAGAGAGAAGCGCUACACCCCCCAGUGACAGAUGGGAGGUCUGAGCGUCCAGGUCCCAGGUUGGCCCGCGGAAGCAGAUACACAGCCCUUUGAACACUGUUCCCCUCAGGCCGGGCCUUGUAGACUGGGAGCCUGUCCUUCCGCAAGGUGCACACCACUGCUCUCCUGCCACACCAGGGACAAUAUGAGGGGCCAGCGCAGCACAUUUGGGCAUGAACACUCUCCUGACAUAUCACCCUCAGCCUCUUCAGGCCAACACAGCCUGAACCUUUCCUGAUCUUAGAGCUGUGAACUUGAACAAGGCUCAGAUACACAGGGGUCUCUUAGAAUCAGGCUAUGGGGACGAUCCUGCAACUUUAAUCAUAUUUAAUUGAAUACUUCAGGCACGGAACACGCAUUUUAUUGAGCGGCUUGUGUAUCCCUCAACUUUCUGCCAUUUAUACCCAGACCUAUGCACCCCUCUUUUUUUGGGAAGCGUGGUGAUGGCAUUAUAGUACCAGGGUUAUGAGCAUAGGGGUUUGGGGGAACCAGAUGGGACACUGUGGAGUAACAAUUUCCAGGACCCACAGAGACCAGGACCCAUGGCCUUGGCUCAAACACAGAGUCAGUGACACUCACCCAUGUCCCCAAAGUCCUGGACCUCAACCCCACGCCCAGGUAUACUGCCCCGGUCUGUGGAGUGGGAGCCAGCAGUUGAAGAAAUGGUUCAACACUCCUUGGUCCCCGGGUGCUCAGUCAUUUUUCCAGGGAGCAUGGGUCUGUGUUCCACCAGCUGUGUGGUUCUCCGGCGUCACCAGAACCCAGUGACUGUCCAAAUUAAUGCUCCUUAGGGGCAGAAGGACUACUGUACAGUGUCCUGAGGGGUUGACUGGUCUAUCAUGCACAGCCAGAGAUCAAACCAGGAGCUACAGAGAAAGUCAAACAUGUACUCGUAUUGUGAUAUGCCAUUUAACAAAAGUAAAACUCCUUGGAAGUAUUUAAGCCCUUCCAGCCAUUUUCCGUGUACACCCCAGCAGAAACAUGUUGAAUCGAAACGCACUCUUAAAAGCAACGAAAAUAAUCACAUUACGCAUAUCUCGCCAGCACAUUCUUUAAAGUAGGCUGUCAAAUACCGCGUCUUCAAAUUACGAUCUCAUAAAAUAACCUGACUCGACAUUUAUCUCCAGGAAUAGCAUGACCGCACGGUGUCGUUCGGGUAGCCGUGCCAGCACCAAGCUGGAUAUAGUCCCGUGACCCGGCAGGACAGUGAGCUCUAGGUAGACCGGUAAGAGGACCUUGUGUCUAAACCCGGCCCUGCCUCUCAAGGCGGGUAUAAUUUUGGGCAGACUCCUUCCUUGCUAAGGUAGCUUCAUCUGUAGAAUGGGCACAAUAGUAUCUAACCUAUGGGACUGCUGCAUAAUACAGGUUUAGUACAAGGAUACAACGAGCAUUCAAUAGUUUUUAUUCUUAUUUUUACUGCCCAAAGUCCUACAGUUACUAAGAUGCCAGGAAGAGGCUUGCUUUUGUGUCCUUGUACCCUGUUCUUGAACAUUUUUAAUGUUGUAAAAUAAAACGUGCAGAAAAGUGCCUAAAUAACAUGCAGUUUAACGAGUAUUUAUAAAACCGAUACUCGUAGAAGCACUGCUGAGGUCGAGGGAAGGCUGUUAGGGAUGCCCCAGUAUCCCGUAGGGUACAUCCUUCAUCCUUCCUUCCCGGCCCUCCCCUUCCUCCCAGAGGUCAGCCUCUCUGUCACAUGGCUCCCAUGUAGAGCUGGUGUGGCUCGAUGAGCGGGAUACCCCCUCCGGUAGCUCACAGCUCUCCCUGCACCACAGCAUACCGGGCUUGGGCUUGGAGGGGUCUGAGGGAUCCAACGCACAGCCUCUCCACUCCCAUCCCCACCCCCCCAUAUGGAAGACAGGUGAGUUACAAGCAACUUCUCCUUUCUAGUACAGAGGGACGGCUGGCCUCACUGAUGGUAAUGAGCACACCUAAGAAGUCACGCUCCAACUGUUUUUUAUUUUCUCGUCUUCCACCCAUCUUUCCUCAUCAGAAGCCAAGUGCUGCCCAUUCUUUUUCUCCCAAUGUCCCCAGACUCUUUUUGCAGGGCCCCAGCACCAUACCUGCGCUGCUGACUUGUUUUGGGGCGGAUUGCCCACGUUUUUGAUACUAUGUCUGGGAGGGAUCUUAUUUUCUACCAAAUCUUCGCGCUCUCAUUUGCUCUGGUCCCUUAAAUGUAUAAAUUGUUGAGUUUGGUCUCAUCUCAUUUUCGACUUUGCUCUCAAGCAAUAAAAAGGACCAGUUUGGUGAGGAUAAACUCGUCCGUUUUGAAAAACUUCCUGCUUCAUUCUCGGAUUCAGCGUCGAGUGCUGCUACAAAGGCAGGGUAGGAGGCACAGGCCCAGUCCCUGCCCUUUGGAUGUAAGAUUUUCCAGGGUACAGGGCCGUGGGUGACCUCUCAAGACCACCCCACCCCAACCUCAGCCCUGAUCCCGUGCACAGCUCCAGCAGCGACUCCUAAGAAGUCUUGCAGAACUCACCACAAGAACGCUUGGGUUGCUGGAAAUGGGAAUCAUGGGUAAACCAUGACUGGAGAGACGAACCUUGGCUAUAAAAACCUUGAUUUAGGGAACUCUUUAAGAACUUACUAUCACAAGUCCCUCAUUUUCCAGACCUAUCCUAGUGGUAUUCUAUAACACCACUGUAUGACACAGGACCCCACCUAUCUGGGCACAACCAUGCAGCUUCUGAGGGGCAAGCAGCAGGAAAGGGUGCCAGCAUCAUACAAAGCAUCAGGAGGUUUCAUUUGGGAAAGCCCACCCCUGAGAGAGCCUCAUCACUCAGAGUCCUAGAGUCAAUGUCAGUGUUUAGACAUUUACUCCUUCACAUCCUGGACACAAUCACUCAUGCAGGCCGAUUUAAAUAAGGGCUCUUUCAAGAAGGAAAGCCUUGAAAUAUAGUAGAUGCUUAGUAAAAGCUUCCUGGAUUAAAGUUAUAGAAAGUUUAGGGUUUCUUGGCAUUAAAACAAUUGAGGACUUCAGACCAUUAGCCAGAUAUUUGGGCAGUAACCAACAACCAGCAAAAAUUGUGAAUUCUUACCAUGUAUGAUCCUGAAUUUCAAUAGUCGAAAGUAAAAGUUUAGAGGUAGAGAGAGAGAAUGUUUCCAAAUGCAUUAUUUUCCUGUGCAACUACAGAAAGUACUAUGAUACUUUUUCUAAGGCUCUCUAGGAACUGUAAAAUUUAGUAAAAAAUGGGCAGGUAAACUGUAUUUCAUCAUUCUCCUAGAUUAUCUAUUGUACUGUUAAUUUAGCAAAUGGGAAAAUUAAAUACCUCUUAUGUGAAUUAAAUGUCUUAUUAAUGUUACUGUAUACUCCUUUACAAAGUCAAGACCAGGCCAAAUCAAACACAGACACCCAGAGUGAUUACAUCUAAUCUCAUCAGGGCACAAUUGCAGACCUCAAGAGAGAUGGCCAGAGCACUCUACAUAUUGGAGUUGCUUUUAAUUUGAAACAGAACUUACUUCAUAAUAUGUCAAACAUUGAAACCGACUUGGUGGUGGGGGGGUAAUCAAGACAAAAAUGUGACAGCAUUGAAAAUUGUAAGUUACAUGUUAAUUCUGUAAAAUCACUACAGAAUUUGUAGUGUGGAACAGUUAACGAUUAAAUCAUUGUGUUCAUUCUUACAUGUAUUUGUGCAAACGUGUGCGUUGAGGAGUCAAGUCUAAAGUAAAGAAGUGUGGAGGGCAGGAGCAGACGUAAGCAGGAAAAAAAUGCAGAAUUCAUGGAGACCAAAAGACCACACAGAAUUAAGGGGCUUUUAAGUAUCGCUGGGAAGCAGAGAUGUGUGCUGAUGGUGGGGGAUAUGGAUGGAAAGAGAGGGAGUUGGGAUAAACCAGGUCCGACUCAACAGGGUCUUGUAAGCCAAGAUAAGGAAUUUGGACUUCAUCCUAAGAGCAAUGGAGGACCUUUGAGGGAUUUAACAUAGGAAAGUGACAUGAUCAUGUUUGCAUUUUAGAGAUACUUUGGCUUGUGAGUGGAAAACAGGUUAGAAGUCUAAAGGCAUGGAGUUAUUUGAGAGGGCUGUGAGUCCAGUUUUACAGGUCAACAUACAAUGCAUGCUAUCCCCUUCAAUGUCCACAUUUUUAGAAAUCACAUGCUCAGAAGAUGAAAAAUCAGAUAGAAAUAAUAGAUUUGGAAGUCCUCUUGAUGAUCUAAAUUUCACCCAGUGGAACUUGACCGCACUAUUAAAAACCCUCUAUCGGGGUAUAUCUGCAAUGCUGUCCAGUGUCUGCCCAGAACAGAGGAGAUUUAGGACUUGAGUAUCAUGUGCGUGACUACCUCUCAAAGUGUUUUUGAAUCAGAAUGGUUUUAAUCAUGCUAAGGAUAAUGAAAACUGAUGUCUUUUGGUUUUUUUUCUGGGAAAUAAUAGCCCAAGAGCCAAGAAUCUUCACAAUCUCCCAAUAUUGAUGGUUGAAUCCAUGUCUUGUUUUUGGUUUGGAAAAAUUUGCAUUUCUCAGCAGGAUGAACUUAUCGUAUCUAGGACAGUUUUUUUUUCUUUUUGUCCUAUCUUGAAAGAUUGAAGAAUGCCAAGAGAGAAUAGGAGCAAAGGUCAUCCCAGUGUUAAUGAUUCUGCAGAAUUUUGUAGUUUGGGAUUAAAGGUUUUCUUCAGUCAAGAAAGUGCAGCAUUCAUUUCAAGUCUAUUUUUUUUCCAAUUUAAGGGAAUACACUGUGUGUUUAUGUUCUGGUGUACACUACUAGAAAUAUCUAGUAAAUAUCUAGAAUAUUCUGGAAAUAGUUGUAGGAAGAUCUAAAAUGCUAUGAAUAGCCUCCUUAAUACUUUAUUAUUUUUUUUUUAAUUUUUUUUUUCAACGUUCAUUUAUUUUUGGGACAGAGAGAGACAGAGCAUGAACGGGGGAGGGGCAGAGAGAGAGAGGGGGACACAGAAUCGGAAACAGGCUCCAGGCUCCGAGCCAUCAGCCCAGAGCCUGACGCGGGGCUCGAACUCAUGGACGGCAAGAUCGUGACCUGGCUGAAGUCGGACGCUUAACCGACUGCGCCACCCAGGCGCCCCUAGCCUCCUUAAUACUUUAAAAGUCAUUCUGCUUUCAGUUCUUCAAUUACCGUAAUAAAUCUUUCUCAUCUCCUUUUCCUGAGGGAAAUUACUGGAGAGUGAACUCAGUUGGAUUUCUUUUGAGGAGGUAGAUAAACCAAGACUCCUAAGACAUAAUUUGUAGCUUAAAAGACAUCCGGGGGCGGGGGGACUUUAUUGAAAUAGUUCUAUACUUUUGUCAAUUUUCUCAAAAACUCCAUUUUAAGCUCUACCUGUUUAAAAUACAAGUAAGUAGAUAGAUUCUAACUCUUGACUUCAUCCUCUGUAGGCAUAGCCUCCGGGCACUCAUUGUUUUUUCCUUUCCUGACAUUUUAGUCUAACCUCAAUGUGACAGGUUCAGGCAUCCCGAGAGCAAUGGUGGGAAGAUUUCUGCUCUCCUUGGCUUAUGCCUGGAAACCUGGCUUCCCUCUAUGAGCUGGACACACAACAGUAUUAUCAAUGUCGAUCAACUGACUUGAACACGAAAGGCAGUAAGGACACGCAAGAAUAGAAAACUGCUCGACCGAGAGACAGAAGUGGCAGGUUUAGAAAGAAAACUUAAGGUUGGCACGUCUUCAAAGGGGGUGGUUGGUAUGCUUUCUUUUCCUGUAUUUUAGUUCAACAUUGAACAGCUGCAUGUGUGUUCUAGGUCAGGCCACAUCAGGAGUCUAAAAGAAAGGCAGGAACCAUCUCUGUUGCCCUAAAACUUCUAACAGUGGGGAAGAUGGCAUGCAUAUAUGAGUUAAAUAAUUUAAGACUGUAGGAACACAUGAGAACAAAUUAAGUAGACUCCGGGGGUGUGGUGCAGGGAAGACAGGGGGCUUUCAAGGAGGAAAGAAGUAGGGGGUAGCAAGGUAAUGUUGAAGAGAAUAUGGUAGAGGCAUGGUCUAGAGGCAGGGGAGAGAGAGAAUGGCAACAUGAGGGAAAAUGCAGAGGCCUGGCACUAUUUAGCAUCGUCUAGGCUUUCUGAAGGAACCAGAGCAAUUAGGGUGGGAGAAAGUGACAGGAGAUUACAUUGGAAAGGAAAGGUUGGGCAAGACUGUAGAGAAUUGUGGAUUUCAUUCCAAGGAGUUUGACUGGACUUGUUGACAAUGAGGCAUCAUGUAAGGUUUUAAGUAGGACAGUGCCAUUCGCCUCACAAAAGGUACAUUUGUAAAUUUAAAAUCAAUUUUUAAACUGAACAUAAAAAUGUUCAAAAGGGAGAGAAAGAGAACAAAAUGAGGCUGCUGUCAUGUCAGACCUUACUGCCUUUUUUACAGCUGGGGAGUUCUCUACUUGAGGCUGUUCAACAAGCUAGGAGAUAUAAAGGAUAUAGAAGAAACAUAUGGGUAUAGUAGGUAUCUCAGGAUUGUUUUAGGGGUCCUGAGAGUCUUAGAAGCAAGCUGUUUAAUGAGCUACCGAAGUCAGGAGACACAGGAAAACAUGUGCAUCAAGAGGGUUCCCAGGCCACAUAGCUGGGGCAGGUCUUACAGAACAACACAGAGCUAAUGCCCUCGGCCUGAUCUCAGCACCUCCUGCUGGUCUCAGUCUGGAUCUCCAGAUCCACCAUGUUCCCGGUUAACUACCCUCCCCAGCUUUUCCCCAUCCUCCCUGAAGUCUGGAUAAAGAUUUCAGUAACUUGCCCUAAUUCACCCAACCAACCUGGCAGAAUAAGAACCCGAAGCUAUGUGCUUCUCUUAACAUCACGGGACCUUUUGCCAAAGGUGUCAACUUCCACCCCAGGGGACUUAGUGCUUCGGAAACCUCGAUUUCCAAACUCUGGACAUGUCAAUAUGGAUGCAGGGCAUCUAAUUUUCCCUUAACUUCAACUGACUUCUGGAGUUCAACAUCUUGACUGCACCUUCCAGACCCUUCUUCCUGUGAAGGCAGCCAGACCCCUGCUACCUGGAUCCUACUGGCCCCCUGAAGGAGAUAACAGGGAGGGGCAGAAAGAGUCUACACCAGCUAGGUAACCUGGUUACCUAGAGGUUAGGUAUCAGGGUACCGGGCGGCAAGUUAAGAAACAAAGAAGCAAAAUGACCAGAGGUGGGCAGCAAAGUCUGAGGACCUGCUCAAUGGAGGCUUACAUUACAGGCACAAAACUAGCAAAAUAGACUUUGCCAUCAGCUACUAUGGCAAGAGGAUGGGGGUGGGAGGCUAGAGAAAGAAGUUUAUUGCCUCCUGCGUAAGCGAUGGAUCGGUGUCAUGGUUUAGACUAGUGGGGAAUACUUUUCACCUCUAAUUUCAAGCUGGCCUUUUAUGUUAAAAUUAUAGCCCAUCCCAAUUCUUGUUUUUCUAACGGGGAUCCUUUUGAGGUAAUAUUCAGCUGUGGAGCUGGGUUUAAAACACCUCACUGAUUACCAUAGCAUGUAAAAAGAAGCUGGGUCCCAAAGAGAGAAGAAUGCAGUUGCCAAAGAGAACACAGAAACAGGCACAGCAGGCUUGGGCUAGGGAGGGCAGCCCCUGUGGCCACAGCAAGUCUUACAGAGCAUAGUGUGGGGCAGUGGAGCCUGCCAUGAAAUAAAUGGGAAGGACCAUGUAACUGGAGGCUGUUCUAGGAGCAACUUCCGAAGCAAAAAGUCCAGGUCUCAGAAAUAAGGGCACCAAACCAAGAAGGGGAUACCCAGUGAAGAUAUGUUCUAUGAGCAUGGAUGGGGACAUGAGGAAGAGGACCCAGACUGGACCAGAAUGGUUCCCUAGUCCACUCUGGUUGAAGGGUUAUCAUUGAUCCCCUGAGUGCGGAAGAAUUCCAGAUCCAUAUCAUCGGCCCCACCCCCCACCCCGCAUAUGCCUUGAGUUUGCAGCCAGUUUUAUCUGCCCCCGGGGACAUUAACAUUCCCCAUUUGUGGUUCCCCUGCCACUCUCCCUGCUCUGGACUCCCACUUCUCUUCUCAGAAAAAUUCCCAUUUCCCCCCCCUUCACGAUCCCUCUUCAAAACAUUCCUCAGGAUUUCUAAGUGUGUCUUCAUUGGUUAUCUGAAUGGCCCUCCUUCUAGGAAGGUAAGUUCACUUUCUUUCCUGAAGCACCUAGGAGGCAUGAUGACUGAUAUUCCUAAAAACAAAGCACACAUGGCUUUGCAAUCUCUCUGGCCUCCUCUCCAUACUCUGGUCUCCUCCCACAUAGGCUGCUUCCUCAACAGCUGCCCCUCUCCUCUGGAUCACCACUCCAAUGGUAUUAGAGCACAGGUGACAUGGUUUGUUCCUUUGGACCAGAGGGCGCCCCCCACUCCCCCAUUUCUGGAGCACACUUCUCCCCUGGGGAAGGGGAGGAGGCGGUGGGUAGCUGGGCAGGGAAGCUGGCUCAGGGAUACACAGGACGUCCCUGGUGUCUGGGUGAUAUGCUUCACCCUGCCCUGUCAGAGCCAAUUGGCUAAACUUCUUUAUUCACAGGUAUCUUGUCCCAGGACCCUACUUCUUCCUUUCUGUCUGCUUUCCUUUGGGGACACUCGGUCCAGCAGAAGUAUCUAAAUAUCCGUUGGUUUCAAAGGUCCCUACAGGGUUCCUGCUCUGUCAGGUGCAACAAGAGAUAUGUCUGGAUAUUGCCGUCAGCGACAGUUAAGAACUUUCCCAAUGUUCUCUGACAGUUAAGAAGCAGUCUGCCUGGAGCAUCAACAGCUGACUUCUGGGUCAGAGGUCAUGAGCUCUGAGGUUCCUCAGGUGUUUCCUGGAUAAAAAUGCCCUUUUACCUGCCUAUAAAAAACUGUACGGUUUUCAUUUUGAAAUAUGUGUUCAGUCAUAUUCAGUACACUGUUUUGCUCUUUUCACAAAAAAUCCUGACUUAAAGAAUUCUAGGUAUUUCUCUAUGUCCAUACAUUGAUUGGAUAGACCUGAAGACGAGGUUCCCGGAGUUUAGGAGCCCAUUGGGCAGCACUCUUGCCCUAAGGAGGCUGAAUUCUGCAGGGGUAGAGUAUUGACAUUGGGCUGGAUGGGAACAGAUUGGGAAGCUGACGCAACCUAGGCAAAAACUGGGGUCAUGAAAGGGUCAAAGUUCUGUCCUGACCUGCUAACAGAUAUGGGGAAGAAAAGGACAUAAUUUUUUUAACCUUAUUUAUUUUGAGAGAGAGAGAGAGAGAGAGAAUGCACAAGCAGGGGAGGGGCACAGAAAGAGGGAGAGAGAGGAUCCUAAGCAGGCUCUGUGCUGUCAAUGAGGAGCCCGAUGCAGGACUCAAUCCCACCAAUUGUGAGAUCAUGACCUGAGCUGAAGUCAAUAGUCAGGUACUUAACCAGUUGAGCCACUCAGGGACCCUGAAAAGGACGUAAUUUUUAAAACCCCUAAAAGUGAACCAUUUUCUUCAUCGUAGACCUAUUUAUUUUUACUUUGUUUGAGAUAUAAAGCAGAAGGAUACAUAAAACUAUCAUUUAAAUAAUAAUCAUCAAGCAAACACCUCUUGAUAUGUGUCUUCUAUAAAGGCAGAAUCUAGUGCUUGAAGUUGACUGAUGGGAGAGGGUACGGGGCAAACAGGGGAAAGGGACAGGUAAAAGCAUAGUGGUGAGAGUUUGAGGUGAGUACUUAAGUCCUUUGACAACUAAAAUAGUAUUCGAUUGAAAUUCUACUGCUGAUUCUUAUCUUUUCCUUAUGUAAUGCACUGUUUAAUAGUGUAUGAGGUGAGUUUUAGAAUCUGAUGAUAGGUCUUACCUGUUUCGGGGAAUUGGGUUGGGUUUUGGGAAAUACUCUUGAUCUCUCAAAAUAUCUGAUGAGGAUUCGUGGAGGAGUAACUGUGGUGACAAUUUGUGAGAAUCAGAACAGCUGGCAAGAGAGGAGUCUGGCUUUGAACUAGUCAACCCACUACAAACACACCUCCCACCUGCCCUAGAAAAUGCUCUGCUUACUCUUUGGCAUUGCAGUUUUUGUUUGUUUGUUUUUUAAACACAGUCUCGAGAUAGUUGUUCAUUGGUUUUGCUACUGAAGAGCUGUUUGUUCUUAUUCCACAGGGGUAUUGGAUUUCAUGGUCUUUGCCUUCAAGUAAGGAAGGAUGAUGCCUGCUCACCACUUUGGUAAGAUUUGAGUGCAGUGCCUAAGACCCUGGGCUUGGGUGUCAGGGAAACCCAAUGUUGGCAAAUAUCCUUCCAAUUACUUUUCAGGGUGCAAACCCACAGAGGCAAAAUGACUUUAUUUUUUCUUUUUAUAAAAGUAGGACAAUAUAAUUUGUGUAGUAAUUUAUAUUUUUAACUUAAUUAAUAGAAAUGAAUAUAUCACUUAAUAGCAAUCUGUAGCUUAUAAUGUCUACAUCGUAUUUUACUGUGUAUAUUUAACCAGCCUCCUACUGUUUAUUUAGGUUGCUUUCAAUUCUUUUUUUUUUCUUUAAUUGGAGUAUAGUUGACACACAAUGUUAUAUUUCAGGUGUACAACAUAGUGAUUCCACAAGUUUAUAUUAUGCUACGCUCACCACAAGUGUAACCACCAUCUGUGACCAUACAACACUGUUAUAAUACCACCGACUAUCAUCCUUACACUGUACCUUUCAUUUCUGUGAGUUAUUCAUUCCAUAACUGCAAGCUCGUAUCUCCCAGUCCCCUUCAUUCAUCCCCGCCCCCCCCCCCCCCCCCCCCCCCCAGCCUCCCUUCAGGAAACCACCAGUUUGUUCUCUGUAUGUAUGGGUCUGUCUGCUUUUUUGGUUUGUUUGUUUAUUUUGUUUUCUAGAUUCUACAUAUAAGUGAAAUCAUAUGGUAUUUGUUUGUAUCUGUGUGACUUAUUUCGGUUAGCAUAAUACCUCCCAGAUCCACCCAUUCUGUCCCAUAGUUAAUUGUUUGCUUUUAUGAAUACUGCUGCAAUUACUAGUCUCACUUCUGAUUAUUUCAUUAGUAUUAAAGACAGGAAUCUGGAAUUUUCCAAACUGUUUGCAUAUUUUAAAACGUUUUUCACAAUAACUUCCAGAAGUUAUCAACGAGGAAGAGAGAGCAAUAUUUUUGCACUGAUGGUAAUGACUUAGGAGAAAGAAAAACUGAUACUUGGCAGAGAGGGCAGAAUAGCGAGAGUAGUGUCGUUAAGGAGGUGAGAGCGUAUGGGAUCUUAGUGCCCAGAUGGGUGUUGGGGGGGAGGCGAUUUUAAAUAGAAGCAAGGAGAACUUACCUCUGGUAGAGAUCAGGAAGAUAGAAUAUGUGGGAGAAGAUGCUGGAAGGUUGACAGUGGGGGUAGGAAAGAGAAGUUCCGACUGCUUCGAGAAGUGAAAAACAAGGUCAUGAGUUAGAGUGAGGGGAGAGGAGAUGAUGAAGGUUUGAGAGAAGAAGAUGGUAAAAUAGAGUUGAUUCUCAUUAUUUGUGGAUUUAACAUUUACAAAUUCACCCAUUUGUUAAAAUUAACUUGUCACCCUCAAACAUGCAGUCUUAGUGUUUUCAUUUGCAGAUAUGUGCACACUCAGAGCUAUGAAAAAUUGUGGUCACCCAACAUGUAUGCUCCCAGCUGAGACUGACCAAGUUACACUGUGCUUUAUUGUUUUAGCCCUCGUGCUAUAAGAAAGUGACCUUUUCGUUGCCUAUGUAGAGCCAUACUUUUAGCACAAAAUGGUGCUUUUGCUGUCUAAAAUGCCCACCUCCAAGCAUAGUGCUGAAAUGCUGUCUAGUGUUCCUAAGAGCAAGGAGGCUGUGGUGUGCCUUAUGGAGAAAAUAUGACUAUUGGACAAUUCAGGCAUGAGUUAUAAUGCUAUUGUCUCUGAGUUAAAUGUUAAUGAAUCAAUAAUAUAGAUUCAGUAAGAUGUCUUUAAAUGAAAACACACAAAGAACAAGAUUAUAUGUGAUCAGUUGAUGAAAAUGUGGCCAGAAGCUUGUAGCAACCUAACUCUGUAUUUUUCCUAGGAGCACUGGUUCAGUAUGCAUUAGUUCACUGUUGCUGGUGACAUCAAAGAACGUCACUGUAGCAAAUAACAAGAAUUGACUGUAUUGGAGCACCUGGGUGGUUCAGUUGGUUAAGUGUCCAACUUCGGCUCAGGUCACGAUCUCGCAGUCUGUGUGCUCGAGCCCCAUGUCGGGCUCUGUGCUGACAGCUCAGAGCCUGGAGCCCGCUUCGGAUUCUGUGUCUCCCUCUCUCUCUGCCCCUCCCCUACUCAUGCUCUGUCUCUCUCUCUCUCAAAAAUAAAUACACUUUAAAAAAAUUUAAAAAGAGAAUUGACCGCAUUUGUCUCAAAGAAUAGGAGAGUGAAUGAAAUAGGGAAGUUGGGCGUCAUAAAACAAGGGUUCAUUUGACUUAAAAUUAGAAAUUUGAAGUAGGAUCAAUCAGCGUGAUUGUGUGUUUUCCUCCAGCCAUAUUAGCUGUACAAAGACAGGUAUGAAAUAGGCAAACAGCUGGUAUUAACUAGGGUUGUGAUUCUGCCAAAGGAAUAUGGUGAGUCCAGGCAGUAGUUGAGGGGUUGAGAAUAUAUGCAAGAGAGUAGUUAUGAUAGUGCUCCUUGUGGCUUAACGUGUGUGUGUGUGUGUGUGUGUGUGUGUGUGUGUGUGUAUUUAUUUAUUUUUCAGUAUAGAGGGAGUCAGGCAUUGUGUAGAUUUACGUCUUUUUCAGUGUGGAAUUCAGGAUUUUAAGUUUUCUGAGGGCAGGUUGUCAGGAUUCGGAUCCAUGUUCCACCAAGUACUAGCAAGAUAAGCUUGUAAACCUGGUGACUGUGUUGUGAUUUGUUCAACCUCAGUGAAACAACUACUGGUAGAGUCGUAUGGUAUUUGCCACACUCAGCAAAACUUUCUCCAGUGGAUCGCACCACUAUAUUCGCCUAUUGGAGCUCUGAAAAACAAAACCUUCCCCAGUCAAGAAUUAGUAAAUGGGAAGACUGGAACAAUUUAUGCUAUCUAAAACCACCACGUUUUAGAGACUUGACCAUGAUAUUUAAUAUGCCCGUAUAAAAAAACUAUUAGUGGUAAUGGUACACGCGUGUUGAUUAAAACUUGUUUUCCUCCAAACUCCAGAAUUCCAUGAUCUGUAAGAACAGAAAUGUCACAUAGCACAAACUUUUCUAGAGAAUAGAGAAGUGCGUAUUUCCCAACGCAUCUUUGAGGCCAGCACAAUGGUGACACCGAAAUCAGACAAGGACUGUGUAACAACAACAACAAAAAAAAAUUAUAAGACAACAUCACUCAUUUAUCUGCAUAAAAAAUGCUAGGUAUGAUAAAAAGCAUACUAAAUUCAGCAAUAUAAAGAACAGAAACUACAUUCUGACCAAGUUGGGCUUAUCCUAGAGAUGGAAAAGUGGUUACCAUUAGAGAAUCUCUAAAUGUAGUUGAUCAUAUAAAUAUGGAAGAAAAACCUACAAAUACUUCAAUAGGGGCACAGAGAGAAUUCGGUAAAAUUCUAUACUCUUUCAUGAUUUAAAAAAAAAAAGCUCUUGGUAAAGACAUGGUAAGAAACAGAAGAGAACUUCCUUAAUAUGACUACAGUUAACCAACCAAAACCUACAACAGACAUUAGAAUCAUCUCAUUAGAAAAUCAAGAACUCACUACUACCAUGCCCUUUCUACAUUAUUCUGGUGGUCCUCGAUAGAGUCAUAAAUCAAGAAAAAGAAAUAAAGAAUGCAAGGAUUAGGAAGGAAAUAAAAUUGUGAUUAUUCACAUCAGAUUGUCUACAUAGAAAACCCAAAACAAUCUUUGCCUCAGCUAUAAAAUGUUUGUUUAAAUGGACAGAAAAAACUACGUACAUUUCUUGAAAAAAAUUUUUUUUAAGGUUUAUUUAUUUUUGAGAGAAAGAGAGACAGACUGUGAGCAGGGGAGUGGCAGAGAGAGAGGGAGACACAGAAUCUGAAAUAGGCUCCAGGCUCUGAGCUGUCAGCACAGAGCCCUACGUGGGGCUCAAACUCAUGAGGUGUGAGAUCAUGACCUGAGGUGAAGUCGAUGCUUAGGGAAAAAAUCAAAAUAAUAAAAGUAAACUCAGUAAGAAAACACAAUUGAAGAGCAUAGUAUUGUUGCAAACUUUCAAUAGCACAAAUGGAAUCAUAUUUAUGUAUCAAAUUUACAACUCAGAGUUGAUUUUCAACUGACCGAAUGUUGACAUUUCAUGGGGUACUCCUCUAAUAUACAUUGGGAAUAAUCUGUUUCUUGAAAGUUUGGCAGAACUUGCCCAUAAAACCAUGUAAGUUACACACACACACAUACACACAAUGAGUUUGUGUAAAAACUGAUGAAAUUGAAUAAUGUCCGUAACCUAGUUGAUAGUAAUCUGCCAAUGUCAAUUUACCGAUUUUGAUAUUGACCUACAGCUAUAAAAGGUGCCACCCUUGGGGAAAGAUGGGUAAAUGAGCAUGGGAUUCUAUUCCAUUCUCUUUUGCAACUUUUUGUAAAUCUAAAAUUAUUUUAAAAUAGAAAGUUAAAAAGAAAAUACAUGGGCCUCUUAUGAAUGACAUUUAUUUAUUUAUUUUUUUACUCAUUUAUGUCAAACAGAUAGAAAUCAUGUAGCACUCGUUUCUUAAUCCAACUCAUUGUUGCUCACGUUAACUAGAAAUGGAGUCCCUUAAAAAAACCUGUGUCAAAAAAGCAAAGCGUUCCACAUUUGUGUUUCUCAAAGCUGGUGCUAUGGAAUUUGAUCUCUGCAGUAGUAAGCUCAUGAGUAUUAACGGUUGUUGGCUAAAAAUAACCCCCAGGGAGGUUACCUGGAGUUCUCUGUCAUCCACGGGUGUAGAGGCAUUUCUGCAACUGACUAGAAGAAACCUUUUUGUCAUCUCUCUGGUCACAGUUGCACUAAGUGCACUCAGCCCACCAUGUGGCCCUUCGCUUGUCACUUCAAUGGAUCAUUGGGCAGCUGUUAUAAAGGGAGUCUAUCCAAAAACACCAGGAUCAGAGACCACAUUCAAGAGAAGCUCAAAGAGGAACGAAUAAUGUGAGGCUUUUAGUUAUCAUUGAAUGUUAUCCUUUAUAAAGUUGAGAGUCAAAAAGGCUUUGAAAAAAGUCACCUUGUGAAAUGACACAGUUCUAUCCACUCUUUUUUUUUUUUUUUGAGGAAUAGAGGGCUCAGUUUCAUUAGGCAGUUUAUUAAAAAAAAAAAAAAAAAACAAAACCUAAGAGCUAGAUAUUUAAAGCCCCUGGGUUACUUUCAAUUUUAAAAGUCUACUUCUAAUGUUCUAAAGUUAAAAAUGGCAGAAAUAUUUUUACACAGCUUUGUAAUUUCUUUUUCUGCCAUGGGUGUCUCAGGCUGGUCCACCAGAUAGAUGUGCCUGAAAUCUUUGCUCUGAAGAGAAGUGCCACGGUGGUGGGAAAAGAAAUCCAAGCAAGCACCAGUGGAGUAUUCCAGGCUGUCAGAGGUCGCUGAGGUAGAAAGAAUGAACACGAUGCCCCGUGCCUCUCUACAGUAGGAAACUAAUAGGACCAAGAGUUAACAUGCUCUGAGGACAGUGCCGUAUUCUGAGGUAAUCACCGACCUUCUGGUCGAGAGGCUCUUCUGUACAUGGCCAGGGCUGGCCCAAUCUUUCUUUCUUCAGUCUUCCACUGAGCUAUCUUCUAUUUUUUCUUCUCUUCAUACAGAGACCUUCUCCUUAGAGUCCUAGGAAGCGGGCCACUUGAUGGAAGAAAAUUGAGUAACUUCCUCCUUCAUAGAGCAUUUCAAAUAAUAAUAAUAAUAUUUUAUAAUAUAAUUUUAUAUUAAUAUAAUAUUAUAUAAUAUAAUUUUAUAAUAAUAUAUUAAUAUUUAUUAAUAAUAAUAAUUAUUAUUAUUAGUGUUGUCAUGUACUUCAUUAAAUGGAGUACUUGAUUUUGUCUCAGUUAAUAUUAGGAAAUGAACUCUAAUGAUUUUCAGAUAUUCCCUAUCUUUAUCCUGUAAAUAUAUUAUUUCCAAUGAUUCAUCCUUGAGAAACAGGUGACAUUUCAUAGAUAGAUAAAGCAAUGCUCACAGAAGACCAGGAUCCUUAUGUUCCAUUGCCAAAGCACUAGGUUCUCAGGUUCCGUUUCCACCCUUGAUUUGACUUGCAUCAUCUCCAGUUUCCACUUUGAGCUUAAAGGGAUCUCUAAUGAUCCUGGAUUCUUGCAUCACUUAUUUGAGAGGCCAGCCACUUGAAGCUGAGGAAAUAGAAGGAGUAGAAUCCCAGCAGACUCUGAAGAGUGACCAGCAGAAAUCAAUACUGCUGGCUCUAUCUUUACUGGACUUCAAUUUAAUAAAGUGAAGAUGUCUUUCUUACCAUUUGAGGAUCCUCUAACAGUGGUGUUUGAGUCCCUCACCAUUAUUGUACUCUGAUGGCUGGACACGUAGUACUGAGCAAGGAGGUGGGACACAGGGACGGGAAUAAGUGUGGCCCUAUGUCCAUGGCUCCCUUAGUCCCCUGNGUAAUCACCGACCUUCUGGUCGAGAGGCUCUUCUGUACAUGGCCAGGGCUGGCCCAAUCUUUCUUUCUUCAGUCUUCCACUGAGCUAUCUUCUAUUUUUUCUUCUCUUCAUACAGAGACCUUCUCCUUAGAGUCCUAGGAAGCGGGCCACUUGAUGGAA